rnacentral:tRNA from 1 species
GCCUCGGUCGUUAAAUGGCUUAGGACGCUCGUAUGGAAUACAUGAAAUCCGGGUUCAAGUCCCAGCUGAGGUG